rnacentral:tRNA from 1 species
UUUGUUGUAGUAUAGUGGUGAGUAUUUUUGUCUGUCAUGCGGGUGACCCGGGUUUGAUCCCCGGCAAUGGUG